UUCCUGCGGGUGGCGUCGAGUCGGGACCGACGGUCCCGACGAGAGGGAAUCCGGUGUGACUCCGGAGCUGUCCCGCAGCGGUAUGCCGUAACGACCAUCGUCAUCGAGCACUGGACCACGAGUCCGGGAAGCGACGGCCAGUAGGAGCCUCCCCGGAGGCGCGACGGCGAGCCCGAAGACCUGCCAGGUGUACCGGACGCGC
rnacentral:ncRNA from 2 species